AAGAACCGAACAAUUCAUCCCAACAAAAUGGAGAAUUCUUACAGGAAUUUAAGAACAUAACAAAAAGUGUUUUUUCCCAAAAGUACCAAAUUAAAUUAAAUACUGCAAAAAGGAUCCACAUCCUUUACACAACUGGAGGAUCAUCACUCACUCUGGCCACCAGCUUGAUUAGAUAGGUUUUCCUGCUCUGAGGCAACACCACCAUCUUCCUAAGCCCCAAAAGGACCAGCCUCGAUCAUGUUAGCCAAAGCUAUCUCCUGAUGAGAUAAGGCUUCACAAAGAAAGGCGUUGUCCAAAUCUAAAACUUUCUUCUCAACAAACCCAAUAAGCUCACGGAUGGCCACCACACACACCUCUUGGUCAUGAGCUUGACCAUCAAGGAGGCCUUCCACUUAUCCACAGUUGCAAUCAACUUAGCUGCUAGUUCAUCAGCAUGGAGCUUCUCUACCUCAGUCUUCUUCAUCUCCUUAGCUUCCAGACAGACAACAAGUGUAGCUCUCUCCUUAUUCCAUUUCACUUCGACCUCUUCCAACGAGCUUUUUCCUUCUCAAAUGUUUGGGCACAUCAGCAGCCGCUUCUUUUACCUUCUCAAUAGUCUCUAACUUAGCCUUCACUUAAACAAUAACAUAAA
rnacentral:lncRNA from 1 species